UGUCAAUAAAAUAUUGGUCUGAUUUGCUAUAUUUAACCAGGGUUGUCUCUAAGACCCAGGAGGCGGGGAAUUCCCCCGCCUAUAAUGCCUUAAUUACCCGGCUAUUAUUGCAUUUCAAACACAAUGUAGCUAUAAGCAAGACCCCCAGACCCCCUGCUACUUUUUCAUUUCUUCCCUCUACUUCAAUUUUUAGAGACAACCCUGUUUAACAUAUAAACACAAAAAAAAUGUAGGGAUGAGACAAUCCACCGAUUCACCAGUGCAUCACAGUAUAUAUUUUGACGAUAUUUGGAUUGAUGCAUUUACCAUUAAUACAACAAUACCUUGGCGAACUUUUUUUAUUUUCCAAAAAUAUCCGAGCUUCAUAUAUCGGCUAUUUUUAGUCCGGGCGCCUAAUAUGAAAUUACAAAGAUGUCGGAAAACCUCGUAAAGUUGUCAAAUCGAAGCUAAAUCUGGAGUGUGGAAAACUUUUGAAUCACUUGUCUAUGAAAAAGUAGUGAAUACAAGACUUAUGUGAUUUGUAAAUUGUUCAACGUUCAUUUAAAAUAUAAUGAAAUCACUUUGGACAUGUGAUUGCUGUGCAUGAUGGAUACUCCCAUGAAAUUUCCAUAGGAUUGUAGUGAAAAAUGAAAUCGGAUGAUGGAAACCAAAUGUUGAAAUGCAAUAAACAGAUAAUUCCUGUCUAUGCAAGAUAAAGGAAGGAGAGUCGAUUCUUUCAAGAAAGGAAUGGAUCUGUAUCAAAGGAAAAAAGGAAAAUGGAAGCCAUACUAUAGACAGGCUGUCAGGCUGUAUUUAAACUAAAGACCUCCUGGGAUGAGGAGAAAAAGAAACAAGUAGAACCUGUAUUUCUUGUGGAGUACAUGAAGAUGUCAUCAGAAUAUGAAAAUGAUUGGGAAGAUGAUACAAUAUAUGAAAUCGCAUCUCUAAAGUGGCGCUCUGACGAAUGUUUAAUUGGACACCAAAAGUUCCGCUCUGAAAUCCAAAUGUUCAAAAAGGCAAAGUAUAAGACGUAUAAGGACCAACAAAGAAUCAUCUAGAGACAAACCAGAAAAUAUAUGAAAUGAACAGAAAUGGGCCAUUUGAGAUUUUUUAAAAAGUUGCUACUGUCAUGUAUAAUUAGCUCACCUGAGCUGAAAGUUAUUAUAUGGUUUUACUGAUAUGCAAGCAUUUUGACAUGUACAUUGUUGAUUGUAUAAAAUUGUUAACUCCGUCCCAUGGACAAUUUUUGUUCCUCGUAAGAGGUUCAUAUUUUGAUGUAGGUUUAUUAUCCAUGUAUAAAGAGUUGUUUAACACUUCUUGAGAACUGCAAAGCUCAGUAUGUGACAUGACUGUAAAAUCAUUGCAAAGUAGCUUGAUGUAGUGUUGUAGUAUGAUGAACCUAAAAAUAUGCUGGGUAUUUUUUUAAAUACAGGAUCUAAUAUUACCUGUUCA